rnacentral:rRNA from 1 species
UCGGAAGCCGGCGAAACUGACUCAUUGGCGAGCAGUCCAAUGUCUUCCGUCUGAAAGCGAAGACCCCGUGGAGCUUUACUGCAGCCUGCGGUUGUGAUGCUAAUUCGAAUGUGUAGCGUAGGCGGGACUCGUUACCAGGGCGGGCCGCUAGGUCCGUUCCGAGAGGCCGAUGAAACACCGCCCUUUCGGGUUGGCAUCGCUCACCCCGCGAGGGGGACACCCGUAGGUAGGCAGUUUGGGUGGGGCGCCACGCCCUCCAAAAAUGUAACAAGGGCCCCCAAAGGUCAGCUCAGGUGGGUCAGAAAUCCACCGUAGAGUGCAAGGGCAAAAGCUGGCUUGACGGGAAUCUGCUUAACGAGGAUUCCCGAUGCGAAAGCAGGGCCUAGCGAACCACUGUGCCUCCCUGUAGGGGCCAGUGAUAAGAGAAAAGUUACCCCGGGGAUAACUGAGUUGUCUCCAGCAAGAGUCCCUAUCGACCUGGAGGCUUGCUACUUCGAUGUCGGUUCUGCCUAUCCUGGUGGUGCAGCAUCUACCAAGGGUGGGGUUGUUCGCCCAUUAAAAGGGAUCGUGAGCUGGGUUUACACCGUCGUGAGACAGGUGUGUUGCUUUUUGGCGGAAGUGCCUGGGUCUCUGACGAGAAGGUUCCCACAGUACGAGAGGAACGGGGAAUCGGCGCCUCUAGUCCAUCAGUUGUCCGGCAGGGCAUCGCUGAGCAGCCACGCGCUACGGGAUAAGGGCUGAAAGCAUCUAAGCCCGAAACCCCCUCGAAAAAGAGAGACCUUCAAGGACACUCGGAGAAGACGAGUUCGAUAGAGCCGGGGUGUACGCAGAGAGCCUUCGGGCGAUCUGUUCAGCCCGCGGCCACUAACGUCCGCAGCUACGCAA